UUAACUUGUUUGCGUUUCUCGAGAAUUCAAAAAAAUAACAGAAUGGUAUGGGCCGCCGGCGGACCUUGGCGGGGGAGACCCCCGCCGCGGCACCCGCCGAGGCAACGUGUUUAUAGUGAGUCCACAGGGUGAAAGGAGUCUUGCGAGUCCUGUAAUGAUCCCUCCGCUGGUUCACCAACGGAGA
rnacentral:misc_RNA from 1 species